UUUAGAAAGUUGACUCCAAAGUGAUAAAUUGUGAGAUGCAUAAAAUUGUCUAAUGCGUGAGGACACGCAUCUUUUCAGCAGGGUUGUAUGUAAUACCCCACUAUGUGAGUUAUCCUUUCUGAAAUUGUUCCUCACGCUACAGCACAUAAAUUAUAUACAGUAUGUAAUUGUGGAGACUGAUAGCAAUUCCCAGCAGCCUCUGCAGCUGCUCAGAGGGUCAGAUGUAUAUCACAUGACCAGUGUCAGGUGGUACAGCAAGGGACAGUUGAAAAGUGAGCGGCAGUUGGACAGAGGGGCCCUGAGGUAAACGCUGUGGGAGACUGACUGUGCUGUGAGGAGACAGCUGGCAGCGCAAGUGAGUGAGAGCAGAUUUUGAGCUGUGACCCUCUCAGGAGUCCUGGUGACGUCGGGCGUAAGGGGUCACUGAUCCGCCCCAGAGGGCAAGUAGAUGUAGAGCCCAUCGACCGAGGACCAGUACAGAGGAAUGGCCUGCUCCAAUUUGAUAGCUGCAGGCUGAGAAACUGAGAGAGGCAGAUUGUGAGGCGGAGCCACUCGCCAUAUAAGGCUGCAGGAGGUCAGUUACUGCCCAGACAACUGGAGAGAAACAUCUGUGGAGGAUUCUCCAAAAGCUGCAUCGGUGACCUGGCUGACACCUCAGAGAUGCGUAGUUGAGGUGGACACACUUGAGGAUGGCCCUACAAUCAAUGAAAGAACAUUAGUCCUUUUUCAGUAUUUUCUCAUUUACAACUUCAAGCACACAUUGAGAAUGAACUUACCAUAUACUUUGCCAUCCCCAGCUUCAGCAGGAGUGGAGACAGGGGUAGUCCUUUUUUGGCAUUUAGGAGAAGUAUUUGUAAAGUUUGACGCCAAAAAAACACACAUUAUUGUAUAUAAGGCAACAUUGUUUGUAUUUAACAUUCACAUAGGUGAAAAAUUCAACAAAACAAACCUAAUACAUGCUCUCAGUAUAGCACUGUUCCAAAAUGAAUUUGUUUGUAUUGAUUAACACCUUUGCAGAUGUUUUGUUAGUAUUAUUAUACAGUAUUGGUUGCAUAACUCAUGGGUGGUGUUAGUGAACCAAGUUUAAACACCAUAGAAACAUUUUUUUUCAUAAAAACAAAUAAAAAAAAUACUGGGUGCUGUGCAUAUUUUAUUAAUAAAAAUAAAAACAUUUGGAAAAA